GAUGAACGCUGGCGGCGUGCCUAACACAUGCAAGUCGACCGAAGCACUUUUACAGAUUUCUUCUGACUGAAGUUUUGUUGACUGAGUGGCGGACGGGUGAGUAACGCGUGGGUCUCCUGCCUCACACAGGGGGCUCACAGUGUGAAACGGCUGCUAAUCCCGCUUAAGCGCACAGUACCGCAUGGUACGCCGUGCAAAACUCCGGUGGUGUGAGAUGGACCCGCGUCUGAUUAGCUAGUUGGCAGGGAAACGGCAUACCAAGGCGACGAUCAGUAGCCGACCUGAGAGGGUGACCGGCCACAUUGGGACUGAGACACGGCCCAAACUCCUACGGGAGGCAGCAGUGGGGAAUAUUGCACAAUGGGGGAAACCCUGAUGCAGCGACGCCGCGUGAGCGAAGAAGUAUUUCGGUAUGUAAAGCUCUAUCAGCAGGGAAGUAGAAAUGACGGGACCUGACUAAGAAGCACCGGCUAAAUACGUGCCAGCAGCCGCCGUAA
rnacentral:rRNA from 1 species